rnacentral:rRNA from 1 species
AAGCGGCACAGCUCAAAUUUGAAAUCUGGCCCCGUCGGGGUCCGAGUUGUAAUUUGUAGAGAGUGUUUCGGGUGAGACCACGGUCUAAGUCUAUUGGAACAUGGCGUCAUAGAGGGUGAGAAUCCCGUAUGUGACCGUGGCUCGAGCCCAUGUGAAGCCUCUUCGACGAGUCGAGUUGUUUGGGAAUGCAGCUCAAAAUGGGUGGUAAAUUUCAUCUAAAGCUAAAUACUGGCUGGAGACCGAUAGCGCACAAGUAGAGUGAUCGAAAGAUGAAAAGCACUUUGGAAAGAGAGUCAAAAAGUACGUGAAAUUGUUGAAAGGGAAGCGCUUGCAACCAGACCUGUCCGUAGGUGAUCAACCGCUGUUCUCAGUGGUGCACUCGCUCUGCGAUCAGGCCAGCAUCGGUUCCGGCGGUCGGAUAAAGGCCUUGGGAAUGUAGCUCCCUUCGGGGAGUCUUAUAGCCCUCGGUGCAAUGCGGCCAGCCGGGACCGAGGACCGCGCUUCGGCUAGGAUGCUGGCGUAAUGGUUGUAAGCGACCCGUCUUGAAACACGGACCAAGGAGUCUAACAUCUAUGCGAGUGUUUGGGUGUUAAACCCAUGCGCGGAAUGAAAGUGAACGGAGGUGAGAACCCUUUAGGGCGCAUCAUCGACCGAUCCAGAUGUCUUCGGAUGGAUUUGAGUAUGAGCAUAGCUGUUGGGACCCGAAAGAUGGUGAACUAUGCCUGAAUAGGGUGAAGCCAGAGGAAACUCUGGUGGAGGCUCGCAGCGGUUCUGACGUGCAAAUCGAUCGUCAAAUUUGGGUAUAGGGGUACGUGUUCUAUUCGAGAUGAUGAGAUGAGAUUUAAUGCUAAUUUUU